CUACUUUCAAUUGUAAAUAUUCUCCGGUUUCAUUGUAGAGCUCUCCGGGAGAUCAACCCCAUUAGACUGUGUUACGGAGAUGUCCCUCGAACAGUCCAGGAGAUAUUUAGACUGAAGGAGAUCUUAUUUCAAGGUAUAAAUAUUGACCAACGCAUUUUAUUUUUCACUUUAACGAAAGAAAUUAUCAGGCAACAUAAAACUUAGAAGAUGGCAAAUUUAGUUGUUGUCCUUAAUGUUCCACCUAAGGGGAAAUCUAUGGAUAUAGAAUACGCAGAAAAAUGUAACAAAGGAGCAAAUAAUCGGAUGAAAUCACAUUUAACAGACAUUGAAAAAAUGCAGCAGAGGAAAGAGUUGCAAUUACGAAAGGAAAAGCAAAAUUUAAAACAAGAACUAGCAGACAUCCGUAAAAAAUCUCCUUUGGUAAAAGAACUAAAAACUCCGGAAUUUCUUAAACAAGAGAAAUCAAGAAUUCGACAAACUGCAGCCGGAUGUGUGAAAAGGUUCGACUAUAGAUCAGACGGUAAUUCAUCAGAUGAAUGUAUUAGUGAACUUUCUUUUGACGGCAGUGAAGAUUCUUCUGACGCAGAAACGAAAUAUAGACGAAGAAAAAUUGCAACACUUGAGGAGAGACGUCGGGAAAAGACUAUGUCUAACUUACAUAGAAGAUACUCCGCUCAACUUAAAACAAAUAUCAAAAGUUGAAAUUGGAUCGCUAGAGAUAGUUUGGUGCUUUAACAUUGUGGUGCUAUUGUGUCCGGCAUUCUCUGGUAGAAUUGACACCAGAAAAGUUAUACGUAUCAAGUGAAAAUAACAGCCGUUUUGAUUUUCUGAUUUAGUGAGAAAAAAAAACAUUCGUUUUGGUGAUUAGGGGAAUAUAUAGAUCAUUGACCUGUAUGAGUAAGAUUUGGUGCUUUGUUUUGCAAUUGUUAUUUUGUGUAUAUUUAUAAAAUCACAUUUACUUUUCAAA